CUACGGGUUGCUCCAGUGGGGAAUAUUGGACAAUGGGGGAAACCCUGAUCCAGCAAUGCCGCGUGUGUGAAGAAGGCCUGCGGGUUGUAAAGCACUUUCGGUUGGGAGGACUGCUUCUAGCACUAAUAUUGUUGGAAGUUGACGUUACCUUCAGAAGAAGCACCGGCUAACUCCGUGCCAGCAGCCGCGGUAACACGGAGGGUGCAAGCGUUAAUCGGAAUUACUGGGCGUAAAGCGCGCGUAGGCGGCUAGAUCAGUCGGGUGUGAAAGCCCCGGGCUUAACCUGGGAACUGCAUCCGAUACUGUCUAGCUUGAGGACAGGAGAGGAGAGUGGAAUUCCACAUGUAGCGGUGAAAUGCGUAGAUAUGUGGAGGAACACCAAUGGCGAAGGCAGCUCUCUGGCCUGAUACUGACGCUGAGGUGCGAAAGCGUGGGGAGCAAACAGGAUUAGAUACCCCCGUAGUC
rnacentral:rRNA from 1 species